AUGAAUUAACAUUUUCUAUUUAAACAAAUGUUCUCUAAAAAGUCGUUUUUGUUAUUUUACUUUCAGCUGUUUUCAAGGAUUAUUCAGAUUUUUUGAAUUCAGGAAUUCACUUGAAGUAUUUAACAGAUCAUCCAGCUUCUUCCCAGCCUAAUUUUCCUAAUAAGUGGCAUUUUAACCUACCUUCUUCGAGAAAAGAGAAAUAACUUCAAGGAGAAAGAAAGUACACAACCAUCCUGUGUUGGGUCAAUGACGCCUGUGAGAUAAGGGCAGCUGGUGCCACAGGAGGGACAGCGUAGCAGGAAACAAAGCAGGUACACAGAAGAGUGAACCUCCAGCUCCUUGUUGUGCAGGAAAAUAUGAGUAGUUCAAGCCAGUGAAAUGUGAGCAAAAGUCAGAUGCCACUUCUGGACUGAGGCAAUGAAAAGCCUUAUUUUCCAAUUUCGCACUUCCUCCACUGUGCCAGUUGUAGGGAGGCCUUGAAUUGAGCCAUGUCAAUUCAAUUUUGACAGCACUAAAAGACUGAAACAGUCUAGAUUAAUGAGUCAUAAUAUGGAGGAAAACAAUUCUGAAGAGUACAAAACAACUCUGAAAUGGAAAUUGUAUAAAUGAGAAACAUUCUUUUAUUGUGUUAAUUUGCAAUUGCCCAAUGGGUUCACCUUGCCCACUGCCUAGACAGAGAUGAUUUAUCA